rnacentral:rRNA from 1 species
CAAUAGCGUAUAUCUAAGUUGCUGCAGUUAAAAAGCUCGUAGUUGGAUUUCGGGUGGGAAUGGCCGGUCCGCCGUUUCGGUGUGCACUUGCUACGCCCACCUUGCUGCCGGGGACGUGCUCUUGAGUUCACGCUCGGGACACGGAGUCGGCGAGGUUACUUUGAGUAAAUUAGAGUGUUCAAAGCAGGCCUACGCUCUGAAUACAUUAGCAUGGAAUAACACGAUAGGACUCUGGCCUAUCUUGUUGGUCUGUAGGACCGGAGUAAUGAUUAAGAGGGACAGUCGGGGGCAUUCGUAUUUCAUUGUCAGAGGUGAAAUUCUUGGAUUUAUGAAAGACGAACUACUGCGAAAGCAUUUGCCAAGGACGUUUUCAUUAA